rnacentral:rRNA from 1 species
CCCUUAGAUGUUCUGGGCGGCCCGCGCACUACAUUGGCACUAGCAAAGAGAUCCUAGAUUGAAUUCUUUGGGGUAUUCUUCUAAAUGGUGUCGUGACUGGGAUAAAUCCUUGUAAUUAUUGGUUUUGAACGAGGAAUUCCUUGUAAUCGCGGUUUAUCAGCUCGCGUUGAAUGCGUCCCUGCCCUUUGUACACACCGCCCGUCGCUCCUACCGAUGGAUCGUCCGGUGAAGUUCACGGAGUGACUGUUCACGCAACGGUUUACGAAGUGAAAUGGACCUCACGAUUUAGAGGAAGGAGAAGUCGUAACA